CAGCAGACCUGCCUCAGUGACAGGGUACGUGCCUUCAGCCCACAUGAAAGCACGCUCCUGUCAGUCAGGCAGACAUGAUUGGACAGCACUGAUCUGUCUCUCCCCCUUCCCAGUGUCACCGGCUCUCUCCCUGCCCAGCGUCUCUCCCUGCCCAGCGUACUGAUACCUGACCCCCCCCCCCCCCCCCCCUCUCCCUUGCAGCCGCCGGGUGCCAAUAUCCCGACCUCCCCCACACACCUUUACCGGAGCUUGCAGACAUGGGAACAUAUACCUGUGUGCGCACGGGGGGCGCCUGGAACGGACAGGCACCCCCCCACUGACUCACGCCGGAUGCCGACUACUAUCCUCUCCCCGCCAGUCAGGACUGCAUUACUGCCCGGCUGGUGGCCGCCCGGGAUAAUCACGGGUGCCCCACAUCGAUGUACUGUGCUAUCGCAGGGAAAGUUUGGUCUGACGGUACUCCGGGACUGUGCCCCUUGAUUGCCGUGCUCCCCCGCAAUGUGGACUAACUGCAAUUGCCGCUGCUCUAGUCUGAGCCGCCAUGGGUUGUAUGCUGGUGGAGUCCGCUGGGGAAGCAUUACGUUCUGACAAAGGAGCAGCAGGCAGUGCAAGAGAGCAGGUGCUGAGUGUGCAGGGGCUGAUCUGGAUGUCAGAUGGCACCCAUCAUGAUACUCCUGUCCAAUGUGGCUCGGCUGGUGCUGGAUAAAAGAAUGAGGAUUUGAUUGUGGCUGAUACCUGAUGUCUAAGUGUCCAGCCACCAUCCAGGACAACACCAAGAUUCCACAGGUCUCUGGUAGGCAAUUACAGUAUCUAAGUACCUUGCUUGAAAGAAAUGUUGGACUUAAGAUUUAGAGAUCGGAUUGAGCCUAUGAUAUAGGAGAUUGAUAUGUUCUAAUACAAGCCACAAUCUGGUACGCAAUUCUGUUAUCUGCGUGUAUUCAGCACAUCCUGGAUAGACAUACUACACCAUAAGCGCUUGUUCUUCUCUUUUUCUCUUCUUUCUGCAGAAUCCCUCGGCAAUUUAUAUAAAAUAUAUAUAAUAUGCAUAGGAUGGUAUUGAGCAUGAGCAGUGGCACAACCCACCCCCCCUCCCACAAUUGCCAUUAUAAAGGUGAAGAAUUUGGGCAUGGCUGCGCUGCAAGAGGCAUGGCAUUGCAGGAAAAGACUACCUUAUACCCCAGUUUUGCAACCUGCACGCCCAGACAUUGACCACCACAUGAAAAAUAUAAUCCUGAUUCACGCCCCUUACGUUAUUUGUAAUUUUUCCUCCUUAAAGUAAUGCCCCUUACACAUUAUGCCACAGACCGCAACGGCCCUUAAACAUUAUGUCACAUACCGCAAUGACCAUUACACAAUAUGACACAGACUGUAAUGCCCCUGGCACAUUAGGCCACACACCACAAUGCCUGUGACACAUUAUGACACACAAAGCAUGUGUCAUAAUGUUUAAAAUGUUUAAAAACAAUGCAGGGGAAAGAACACGUUUAGAAAGGAAAACCUAUGGACAUGUGUUUGCUGCUCAGUAACAAGGGUUCCGUUUCCAGCCACAUCCAGUUUUAACAAUAAAGUUUUACUAUCUAAAGAGACAAAGCAAAAGCUGCGUUCAUCCUUGAAAAAGCAUCCUGGUGACAUGAAACGUGUUGGAGAUACCAGCAGUAGUGGGGAGCCACGGCAAAAUCACAAUAGAAGGAAGCCGCGAGCCGCAACCGGAAGUUCCGCUCUGUCAUGCCCGGCAAGCCAGUAUCACUGAAUGAGAUCAGGAACCAUCGUGAAGUCAAAGGACACGUGAAUUCUUCCUCACACUGAAGGCAUCCAAAAUACUGUAUGACUUGGAUAAGCUGUAAAAUGUAACAUCCACUAAUCCUAGCAAAUGCUUCUGAGUGGAUUUCAGUGGGUCUCCCUUUCACUACAGGCUGUUUUAUUUCUUCACCAUGAUGAAUACAGGAUUCUGCUGGGCAGACACUACAGAAUUCCCUCCUCAUCUGACCUGGAUGCCAAGCGGGAACACAGCAAUGUUUGGGAAAGCAUGGUCCUCACAUGCAGCAUGAUAAUUACACUGAGUGCAACUGAGGACAUGAUGAUAAACACAUGUAGAGUGUAUCCCCUAUUUACACACUGUAUCAUAUAGCAGCUCAGCAUUUUCACAAUGUAUUUCCUAAUACAUUUCUAUCUCUUUUCCCCAUUCAUUUAUUUUACAACAAGAACAUAUCCAGUGCUAACUGCUAAGAGAGAAGCACGGCAAUUUAGUAGGUAUUUUUCUGCUGUCUGUCAGCUGUUGUCUACUCUGCUAUCUCAUCAAACACCUAAAGUAUGUCAUCAUCAUACAAUU